rnacentral:rRNA from 1 species
UGCAGUCGAACGGCAGCACGGACUUCGGUCUGGUGGCGAGUGGCGAACGGGUGAGUAAUGUAUCGGAACGUGCCUAGUAGCGGGGGAUAACUACGCGAAAGCGUAGCUAAUACCGCAUACGCCCUACGGGGGAAAGCAGGGGAUCGCAAGACCUUGCACUAUUAGAGCGGCCGAUAUCGGAUUAGCUAGUUGGUGGGGUAACGGCUCACCAAGGCGACGAUCCGUAGCUGGUUUGAGAGGACGACCAGCCACACUGGGACUGAGACACGGCCCAGACUCCUACGGGAGGCAGCAGUGGGGAAUUUUGGACAAUGGGGGAAACCCUGAUCCAGCCAUCCCGCGUGUGCGAUGAAGGCCUUCGGGUUGUAAAGCACUUUUGGCAGGAAAGAAACGUCAUGGGUUAAUACCCCGUGAAACUGACGGUACCUGCAGAAUAAGCACCGGCUAACUACGUGCCAGCAGCCGCGGUAAUACGUAGGGUGCAAGCGUUAAUCGGAAUUACUGGGCGUAAAGCGUGCGCAGGCGGUUCGGAAAGAAAGAUGUGAAAUCCCAGAGCUUAACUUUGGAACUGCAUUUUUAACUACCGGGCUAGAGUGUGUCAGAGGGAGGUGGAAUUCCGCGUGUAGCAGUGAAAUGCGUAGAUAUGCGGAGGAACACCGAUGGCGAAGGCAGCCUCCUGGGAUAACACUGACGCUCAUGCACG